rnacentral:rRNA from 1 species
CUACGGUGAAUACGUUCCCGGACCUUGCACACACCGCCCGUCAAGCCAUGGGAGCCGGGUGUACCUAAAGUCGGUAACCGUAAGGAGCCGCCUAGGGUAAAACUAGUGACUGGGGCU